AAGAAGGUGGCAGAAUGGUUAUGCAGCUGGCUUGAAACCGGCAUAUGGGGGUUCAAUUCCUUCCUUUCUCG
rnacentral:tRNA from 1 species